GCUUUUUUCCCCCCAGGCCUGUUGGUGUAUACUACAGAGAAGCCUGCAAGGUCUUGGUGGGGGAAGGC
rfam:Scleropages formosus scaffold6807, whole genome shotgun sequence.